rnacentral:lncRNA from 1 species
UUUGGGUGAGAAUUCUUCCUCAAAAUAUUUGCAAAAGAAUACUAUUUUGAACAUGGAGGAUAAAGAAUACUAUUUUGAACAUGGAGGAUAAGGGAGGGGCAUCUUAUGCUUGUUAAAGCAUGAACCCAUGUGUUAUCACAUGCCUUGUGCACCUUUAUCAUGUGUACCUGUUACGAGAAAGGAUACUGAGGGGGUACCAUUAGCAGGGGAGGUGCAGAAAGAAACAAGACCAAGGCCACUCAGGAUGAAGUCCACUCCAGCAUAUUUGAAGGAGUACGAACGAAGCCAUGCAGAGUGGGGCGCGUAGCUGAUGCGGUGAACGUGGAUUAGCCUCAGUGAUAUCAGAGGGAGAGGAGGGAAAGGGAAUCUUUCUAUUAAAACUUUUGUUAGUCGUUCAACUUCUGUUAGUUCUGUUAGAAGGUUAAAUUUUUUUCUUUUUCUCUAGUUUCUUUUAUUUCUUUUCUUGGUCCUUUUGCCACUUCGUUCCUGUAUCUUCAUCUAUCCCACCCACCAGCACAAGUAUAUCGUGUUGUCCCACCAAGAGCAAACGACGACGGCACCACCAUAACAAACAUGACAGCAAAAUCAAAGGAAAAUAAGUAGGACAACAGCAACACAAAACCCAACACCGCAAACACCACAACGACGAAGGAAACGACAAUGAGUCUCCCUCUCUCAGGUCUGAUAAUAAACUGGUUCCUUUCUCAAAUCAGAAACAAAAGAAAUCAUUUUCUCAUAUCUGCAGAAGAAGAAAAACACAAACAUCACCGCAGCACUGUUUAGGCCAGCAUCAAUGUUUUCGUUGUCGGAGAAGGGAUGAAAGAAAGAGAGCGUUAGCAGAGAUAGAGAGAGAAAGAUGGAGGCGUUGGUGGCGGGAGUGCGGUAGCAAUGGUGCGACUGUCGUGGUGGCUUGAAAAUAUGCGCGACAACGAGUGUGGAUCGAC